CCUACGGGGGGCAGCAGUGGGGAAUAUUGCACAAUGGGGGGAACCCUGAUGCAGCGACGCCGCGUGAGUGAAGAAGUAUUUCGGUAUGUAAAGCUCUAUCAGCAGGGAAGAAAAUGACGGUACCUGACUAAGAAGCCCCGGCUAACUACGUGCCAGCAGCCGCGGUAAUACGUAGGGGGCAAGCGUUAUCCGGAUUUACUGGGUGUAAAGGGAGCGCAGACGGCUGUGCAAGUCUGGAGUGAAAGGCGGGGGCCCAACCCCCGGACUGCUCUGGAAACUGUAAAGCUGGAGUGCAGGAGAGGUAAGCGGAAUUCCUAGUGUAGCGGUGAAAUGCGUAGAUAUUAGGAGGAACACCAGUGGCGAAGGCGGCUUACUGGACUGCAACUGACGUUGAGGCUCGAAAGCGUGGGGAGCAAACAGGAUUAGAUACCC
rnacentral:rRNA from 1 species